rnacentral:tRNA from 1 species
AUUUAUGUAAUAUAAACAUUAUAUUUGACUUCCAAUCAAAAAAUCUAUUCUUUAGCAUAAAUA